AGCGAACGCUGGCGGCAGGCUUAACACAUGCAAGUCGAACGCGCGUAGCAAUACGUGAGCGGCAGACGGGUGAGGAACACGUGGGAACAUACCCUUUGGUUCGGAAUAACUCAGGGAAACUUGAGCUAAUACCGGAUAAGCGCGAGAGCGGAAAGAUUUAUCGCCGAAGGAGUGGCCCGCGUCUGAUUAGCUAGUUGGUGAGGUAAUGGCUCACCAAGGCGACGAUCAGUAGCUGGUCUGAGAGGAUGAUCAGCCACACUGGGACUGAGACACGGCCCAGACUCCUACGGGAGGCAGCAGUGGGGAAUAUUGGACAAUGGGCGCAAGCCUGAUCCAGCCAUGCCGCGUGAGUGAUGAAGGCCUUAGGGUUGUAAAGCUCUUUUGUCCGGGAAGAUAAUGACUGUACCGGAAGAAUAAGCCCCGGCUAACUUCGUGCCAGCAGCCGCAGUAA
rnacentral:rRNA from 1 species